GAUCCUCCCUCUCCGCCCUCAGAAGGAACAAGUCCUGCCGACAACUUGAUCUUGGACUUCUAGUCUCUGGAACUGUGAGGCGAUCAUUUCUGUUGUUUAAGCCACUCUGUUUUUGGCACUUUGUUACAGCAGCCCCAGCAAACUAACCCAUCCCGUUUUCGCAGCCACUAGCCACAUGCAGCUAUUCAGCAUUUGAAAUGACAGUUCGUCUGAAUUGAGAUGUGCUUGUGGCUACUAGAGAAAUUUAAUUACAUAUGUGGCUUGCAUUACAUUUGAUUGGGUGACGCUGCUCUACAACUUGGAAAGGCCAUUUCCAGGACAUCUUCCUGGAGGCUCCCAGGAAAAGCAGCCUUUGGAAUUCCCACUGAAUUCCACUCAA